GACGAACGCUGGCGGCGUGCUUAACACAUGCGAGUCGAACGGAAAGGCCCCUUCGGGGGUACUCGAGUGGCGGACAGGCGGGUAACACGUGAGUAACCUGCCCGUGACUUCGGGUUAACUUCAGGAAACUGGGGCUAAUACCGGAUAGGAAUCCUUGCUGCAUGGUGGGGGUGGGAAAGCAUCGGCGGGUUGGGGGGGACCUGCGGCUUUUCAGCUUGUUGGUGGGGGAGGGGCUUGCCAAGGCUUGGACGGGUAGGCGGCCCGAGGGGGCGACCGGCCACAGUGGGGAUGGGAAAAGGCCCAGACUCCUACGGGGAGCAGCAGGGGGGAAUAAUGCACAAUGGGCGGAAGCCUGAUGCCGCAACGCCGGGUUCGGGAUGACGGCCUUCGGGUUGUAAACCGCUUUCAGCAGGUGCGGAGCUUGUAGUGACGGUACCUGGAAAAGAAGCACCGGCUAACUACGUG
rnacentral:rRNA from 1 species